AUUUAGCUUUUGCAGGUUGAAUAUCCCUUUGAUCGGCUUCGUUGUGGCUUUUUCCGGUGGCAGGAUGUUGGUGGUGCUCGAUGAUUUGGAUCUCAGCAAACAUUUAGAAGUUGUCGGAGAGCACAUCCACCCACUUUUGGCGAUAUUACUUUGAUUCGGGUGAUUCUUCUUUAUUUCAGGUUCAAUCGUUUAUGAAUGCAAUGGAUUUGUCCUCAUCCUCUCAAAUCUAGAAGUUUUAUUUCUUUGGUUGUCUUCUUCCCCAGGCUUUAAUGAAUAUUUAUAAGGCUGACUUUUUGCAGUAUAAUGUGAGAUAAGUCUUUUCACCAUGAUCGCCAUCAAUUGUGAUGGCGAAUCAUCCAAAAUUGGAUGUGGGCGCCGCUGUAGCUUUCAGGCAGACAAAUUCCUCAGUCAUCUUCACCUCCUGUUGGUGGGAAUGUAAACAAAUCCCACUGAAUGGAGUUUUGAAAAAUUCAAAUGUAGUUAGCUAAAAUCUUUUUGAUCUACUGUUGAAUUUGAACUGAAAUUUUACUUAUGUCUCCUUUCAAAUUCAAAUUGAAUAUUAAUAAAUUUAAAUUUAAUUUAUUGAAUAAAUAAAUUUAUAUAAAUCAAAUUUUAUUUAGA
rnacentral:lncRNA from 1 species